rnacentral:rRNA from 1 species
GACGAACGCUGGCGGCGUGCCUAACACAUGCAAGUCGAACGAGUGGCGAACGGGUGAGUAACGCGUAGGCAACCUGCCCUUUAGACGGGGACAACAUUCCGAAAGGAGUGCUAAUACCGGAUGCUAAAGGAUGGGCCUGCGUCUGGUUAGCUAGUUGGUAGUGUAACGGACUACCAAGGCGAUGAUCAGUAGCCGGUCUGAGAGGAUGAACGGCCACAUUGGGACUGAGACACGGCCCAAACUCCUACGGGAGGCAGCAGUGGGGAAUCUUCCGCAAUGGACGAAAGUCUGACGGAGCAACGCCGCGUGAGUGAUGAAGGAUUUCGGUCUGUAAAGCUCUGUUGUUUAUGACGCGGUAGUAAACGAGGAAGCCACGGCUAACUACGUGCCAGCAGCCGUGGUAAUACGUAGGUGGCGAGCGUUGUCCGGAAUUAUUGGGCGUAAAGAGCAUGUAGGCGGCUUAAUAAGUCGAGCGUGAAAAUGCGGGGCUCAACCCCGUAUGGCGCUGGAGACUGUUAGGCUUGAGUGCAGGAGAGGAAAGGGGAAUUCCCAGUGUAGCGGUGAAAUGCGUAGAUAUUGGGAGGAACACCAGUGGCGAAGGCGCCUUUCUGGACUGUGUCUGACGCUGAGAUGCGAAAGCCAGGGUAGCGAACGGGAUUAGAUACCCCGGUAGUCCUGGCCGUAAACGAUGGGUACUAGGUGUAGGACUGUGCCGGAGUUAACGCAAUAAGUACCCCGCCUGGGGAGUACGGCCGCAAGGUUGCAACUCAAAUGAAU